GCCCUACGGGGUGCAGCAGGCGCGAAAACUUUACAAUGCUGGCAACAGCGAUAAGGGAACCUCGAGUGCCAGGUUACAAAUCUGGCUGUCGAGAUGCCUAAAAAGCAUUUCAUAGCAAGGGCCGGGCAGGACCGGUGCCAGCCGCCGCGGUAACACCGGCGGCUCGAGUGGUAACCGUUAUUAUUGGGUCUAAAGGGUCUGUAGCCGGCCGGAUAAGUCUCUUGAGAAAUCUGGCAGCUUAACUGUCAGGCUUUCAGGAGAUACUGUCUGGCUCGAGGCCGGGAGAGGUGAGAGGUACUUCAGGGGUAGGGGUGAAAUCUUGUAAUCCUUGAAGGACCACCAGUGGCGAAGGCGUCUCACCAGAACGGACCUGACGGCAAGGGACGAAAGCUAGGGGCACGAACCGGAUUAGAUACCCGGGUAGUCCUAGCCGUAAACGAUACUCGCUAGGUGUCGGCCACGGUGCGACCGUUGUCGGUGCCGUAGGGAAGCCGUGAAGCGAGCCACCUGGGAAGUACGGCCGCAAGGCUGAAACUUAAAGGAAUUGGCGGGGGAGCACCACAACGGGUGGAGCUUGCGGUUUAAUUGGAUUCAACGCCGGAAAUCUUAC
rnacentral:rRNA from 1 species